GGCCACGGCUCCAGAGCUUCCUGAAGAGAGCGUGGGAGGGCGGUGGAGACUUUGAAUUCAAGAGCUGGCUUCUGAGCAGAGCUAGGUGUCCAGGGGCCAGUAUGCUUGCUAGUGGAGAAGACGGAAAGGCCAGAGACAGAGCAUGAACGAGGGAGGGUCAGAAAGAGG